GCAGGUAUAGUAUAGUGGUAGUAUUUCUGCUUGCCAUGCAGACGGCACGGGUUCGAAUCCCGUUACUUGCUCCA
rnacentral:tRNA from 1 species